UCCUGAUCUACGUUCAUCGGAUCAGGGUGAGUCGGGACCUAAGGAUAAGCCGAAGGGCGAAGCCGAUGGAAAAUCAGUCAAAAUUCUGAUACCUGUGCAUGCUGCGAUGGGGGGACGGAGAGAGCGAGGUGACGCGCACAUACGGAACUGUGCGUUAAAGCGCAAGCGACAGUACGCCGACCCUUUCGGGGGGAGGCGACAGUUCACCGGACAAACUUCCAGGAAAAGCCCUUGAAGCUUCAGACAUGUACAGCUCGUACCGCAAACCGACACAGGUAGUCGAGGAGAGCAUCCUCAGGCGCUCGAGUGAUUCGUGGCUAAGGAACUAGGCAAAAUGGUCUCGUAACUUCGGGAGAAGAGUCGCCCCUGCAAGGGGGCCGCAGUGAAGAGGCCCAGGCGACUGUUUAGCAAAAACACAUGGCUCUGCAAAAUCGAGAGAUGAGGUAUAGGGCCUGACACCUGCCCGGUGCCGGAAGGUUAAGGAAGGGGCUUAGGGGCAACCCGAAGGUCUUGACUGAAGCCCCGGUAAACGGCGGCCGUAACCAUAACGGUCCUAAGGUAGCGAAAUUCCUUGCCGGGUAAGUUCCGACCUGCACGAAUGGUGUAACGAUCUGGGCACUGUCUCAGCCACGAGCUCGGUGAAAUUGAAGUAUCGGUGAAGAUGCCGAUUACCCGCAACGGGACGGAAAGACCCCGUGAACCUUUACUACAGCUUUGCAUUGGGCUUGACUAUUUGAUGCGUAGGAUAGGUGGGAGGCUUUGAUCCGGGGGUUCUGGCCUUCGGGGAGCCGACGUUGAAAUACCACCCUUUGGCUAGUUGAGUCCUAACGUAGGAGAUACAGACAGUGCAUGGCGGGUAGUUUGACUGGGGUGGUCACCUCCUAAAUCGUAACGGAGGUUUGCAAAGGUGCCCUCAGCACGGACGGUAAUCGUGCGAAGAGCGUAUUAGUAGAAGGGCGCUUGACUGAGAGGCCGACGGGCCGAUCAGGGACGAAAGUCGGCUAAAGUGAUCCGGCGGUUCCGCAUGGAAGGGCCGUCGCUCAAAGGAUAAAAGGUACUCCGGGGAUAACAGGCUGAUCUCCCCCAAGAGCUCAUAUCGACGGGGAGGUUUGGCACCUCGAUGUCGGCUCGUCGCAUCCUGGGGCUGGAGAAGGUCCCAAGGGUUGGGCUGUUCGCCCAUUAAAGCGGCACGUGAGCUGGGUUCAGAACGUCGCAAGACAGUUCGGUCCCUAUCUGUUGUGGGCGCGGGAAGAUUGAGGAGACCUGACACUAGUACGAGAGGACCGUGUUGGACGAACCGCUGGUGUGUCGGUUGUGCCGCCAGGUGCAGUGCCGAGUAGCUACGUUCGGCCGGGAUAAGCGCUGAAAGCAUCUAAGCGCGAAGCCUACUUCGAGAUGAAUCUUCCGAUUAAGGGUCGCAGGAGACUACUGCGUCGAUAGGCGGCAGGUGGAAGCGUGGCGACAUGUUGAGCCGAGCCGUACUAAUUACCCGUAAGCUUCCU
rnacentral:rRNA from 1 species